CCAAUAGCGUAUAUUAAAGUUGUUGCAGUUAAAAAGCUCGUAGUUGAAUUUCGGGAUCAAUAUGUUGGUCGUGCCUUGGUACGUACUGGCGUCAUUGGUUUCUACCUUCUGAAGAACCUCGAUGUCAUUAAUUUGGUGUCUUGGGGAAUCAGGACUGUUACUUUGAAAAAAUUAGAGUGUUUAAAGCAAGCUCACGCUUGAAUACAUUAGCAUGGAAUAAUGAAAUAGGACGUUUGAUUCUAUUUUGUUGGUUUCUAGGAUCGACGUAAUGAUUAAUAGGGAUAGUUGGGUGCAUUAGUAUUCAAUUGUCAGAGGUGAAAUUCUUGGAUUUAUUGAAGACUAACUACUGCGAAAGCAUUUGCCAAGGAUAUUUUCAUUAAUCAAGAACGAAAGUUAGGAGAUCGAAGACGAUCAGAUACCGUCGUAGUCUUAACCAUAAACUAUGCCGACUAGGGAUCGGAUGAUGUUAAUUUUUUAAUGACUCAUUCGGCGCCUUAC
rnacentral:rRNA from 1 species